rnacentral:tRNA from 1 species
GAGGGUAACAGCUCAGUGGUAGAGCACGUGCUUAGCAUGUAUGUGGUCCUGAGUUCAAUCCCCAGUACCUCCA